rnacentral:tRNA from 1 species
GCGCCCAUAGCUCAGCUGGAUAGAGCAACGGCCUUCUAAGCCGUAGGUCGCAGGUUCGAAUCCUGCUGGGCGCGCCA